AACGAACGUUGGCGGCGUGGAUUAGGCAUGCAAGUCGAACGCGAAUCCCUGGGCAACUGGGGAGGAGAGUGGCGAAAGGGGCAGUAAGGCGUGGGUAACCUACCCUCCGGGCCGGGAUAGCUUCGGGAAACUGAAGGUAAUACCGGGCGACGCAGCGAGAUCGCAUGGUCUUGCUGCCAAAGGUCCGCCGCCGGGGGAGGGGCUCACGUGGUAUUAGCUAGACGGCGGGGUAACGGCCCACCGUGGCAAAGAUGCCUAGCAGGGGUGAGAGCACGACCUGCGCCACUGGCACUGAGACACUGGCCAGACACCUACGGGUGGCUGCAGUCGAGGAUCUUCGGCAAUGGGCGCAAGCCUGACCGAGCGACGCCGCGUGUGCGAUGAAGGCCUUCGGGUUGUAAAGCACUGUCGAGGGGGAGGAAGCCGCAAGGUUGACCUAUCCCUGGAGGAAGCACGGGCUAAGUGCGU
rnacentral:rRNA from 1 species